rnacentral:rRNA from 1 species
CUCAGGACGAACGCUGGCGGCGUGCCUAACACAUGCAAGUCGAACGAAGCAUCUGGAGCUGAUUCUUCGGAAUGACGCACCUUAUGACUGAGUGGCGGACGGGUGAGUAACACGUGAGCAACCUGCCCUUCGGUGAGGAAUAGCAGCUGGAAACGGCUGGUAAUACCUCAUAACAUAGUCCAUCCGCAUGUUUGGACUAUCAAAGAUUUAUCGCCGAAGGAUGGGCUCGCGUCCGAUUAGGUAGUUGGUGAGGUAACGGCCCACCAAGCCGACGAUCGGUAGCCGGACUGAGAGGUUGAUCGGCCACAUUGGGACUGAGACACGGCCCAGACUCCUACGGGAGGCAGCAGUGGGGGAUAUUGCACAAUGGGCGCAAGCCUGAUGCAGCAACGCCGCGUGCGGGAAGACGGCCUUCGGGUUGUAAACCGCUGUCCUUAGUGAAGAACACAAUGACGGUAGCUAUGGAGGAAGCCACGGCUAACUACGUGCCAGCAGCGGC